UGAGGUUAUUACUUUGACAGACUCAAGCUAUAAAGAUCUUCUCAAUAUGGUUUUCGCGCUUUCUGUUCUUCAUAUUUGCAUAAAAAGAGUAGCAUAUUGUCAAUGUUGUUCAGCAGUAUCUUCUACAUCCACCUGGAAAGCUAGAAUUGGUCAAUGCUAAUCACGGAGAUACAACAAAACGAAAAAGAAUAACUUAUCUGUUCUAACAAAUCAAACAAGUCUUCCUCUUGUUUUAAAUUAUCCUAAACAGAUUAUAUUUCUACUGCAACAAUGAAUCAACUGUUGGGAUAAAUUUCUACAUGAGAAAGACCUGUAUGAUAAUUUCCAAUGGAUGAACUAUCUGUUGCAACAUAUAAUUCAUCUUUUGUAGCAGAUAGGUCAUCUGUUGGUACAAAUAAAAGUGGUACAAAAAGCUGUUUGAUUUGUUAAAACAGACGAGACAUAUGUCGCAACAAAUACUUUAUCUGGUGCAACAAGUUAGUGAACUGUUGCAAUAGAUCUAUAUAUCUGUUUGAUAAUUUUCAGCAGAUGUGUCAUCUAUUGAAAUAGAUAUGUCUGUUUGUUAGUUGGAAAAGACAUAUAUAUUUAUCUUCUUCAGCUCGUGCUGCUCUCUUUUGGACAUUGUACAUUGUUCAGUGCAACACAUGGACAGGGGAGUUGCAAUUUUUUUUUUGAUGCUUGAUAAUGACUUGAAAAUCGCUUUCCUUCUUCUCUUAGCCUUAAUCUCUAAUGGAGUAGAUGGAUAUAAAAUCCUCUUUGAUAAAAUGACACUCCUCUUAGAUGUCAAUUCCUUUACAGAAGCAGUUCAUGCAUUAAUAGCAUUAAUCACUACAUCAUAUUUCGCCUUGCAGUUUUGACAUUUGCAUGCAGAACAUUCGCUGGGAGAGGCAAAUUCUGUAUAACAAGUAUAUCACUCCUAAUGGUUUAUUUUAAAUAUUGUAAGAGGAGCAUCAUUAGCACCAACAGUAGCACCAUUACCACCACCAAUAGCUUCAUCUCCACUAAGACCAUCAACAAUAACAAGCCCAACCUCCAAAAUUAUUUUUCUUGUAAUGAUUGUUGCUCCAAAUAAUUCCAUUCUUAUUCUGUCAAUGACCUUAGGGUCCGAUAAAGUUUGCACAGAUCGUAAAGUAAGAAAAAAUGACAUUUUUAACUCUCAAUUAGUCGAAACUAGCGACGGAUGCACAAUCUAACACAAAUCAUUACAUAUAUUAAAAUGAUGAUUAGAUCAUUCAAAAAAAUUAUUAAUUAAAAUAAAAACUUAAUUAUAAUUAUACUUACUGCAUCCUUUCGGGAGUUGAAGAGAUCAAGAAAUUUUGUUUUUUUAUCAGUUUUGACCGACAAUCAUCUCAAGAUUCUUGGACAGAAAACUUCUUCCUCGUAGUUCACUUGUUCUCUCAAAUAAAGAAUGGCUUCAAACACCCAAGUCUAUAAAAUAACGUCAAUAAAUCAAAAUCAUUAUUGUGUAAAAAUGAAUGAUAUCAUAAUAAAAAAAAGAAACAUUUAUCAUGAAAGCCCAUGAAAAACCAUAUAAGUUGACUGUCUUUAGCGCUAACGGAGUCAACAAAUAUUUGACAGUUAUUUUGAAGCUUUCGUAACCCCAAGAAAAGCUAUUAAAUACCUCAAGAUCCUUGGAGAGCUUUAUUAAACCAAUGCUUAUGUUGUUGUUAACGUCUCUCGCCCAAAGAAUAUUAUGUACAAAUCAAACCAAGCACAAUGACUACUUGUGCUUCUCUAAAAGUCCUUUACCUUUCAACGCUUCUAUUAAAUUUUUAUUUUUGAACCAACAAUGGACACCAAGUCAUCACGAUCACACAACUUGCCUUUACCUUUUUUUUGAAUGUGCGGCAUUUUUUUUGGGGUUAGAAUAGGUAUAACUUGAGAAGGAGAAGGAGGAUAACAUUUUAGUCCAGUAACUAUAACAAACUCCUUCCAACCAAAAUAAACAGGCAUGCCACAGUAAUUUAUCCACACCUCAUCCAUCUUAUCUUUGUUUUCAUACAUAAACCUACGUUUGAGAAGUUCAUAUAUCAUUUUCAUUUGGAAACGAGCAUUGUUGUCCUUCAGCAAAUCAAGAUAUUUUCCAAAGCAGUUAUCCCUGAAAUAAGCAUCCAAUUUUUAUUCUCGAAAUAUUUUUCUGAAGGCGUCGAAAGAUUUUCCCAUUACUGAAUUAACCACGAAAUCAUCCGUUAAAUCUGUAGCACUAUCGCACUGCAUUCUCACAGAAUAACGAUCAAUGCUAAAGGUUUUGACCAACUCUUCGAUGGAAAGGCUAUUAGCAUUUGGAUCAUCUCUUUUGAAACAUUCCUCCUCCCCGUGUUCAUCAUAUUCUGCUCCUGAUUGAGAUAACGCUUGUAAAGCAAGCUCAUAGAGUGGUGGAUGUAGCCUAGCUGCUUCACUUGUUUCUUUACUUGGACUUGAUUCGAUUUUUAUUUUUUUGGGAGCCAUAUUAUCUAAAAUUAAUAGGAAAAAUAAAAAAAUAUAUUAUUGUUGAUUAAUGCAUCGUUAAAAAGGGAUAACAGUAAAUCUAACAAGAAAAAUAGUAAAAUAAUAGUUUCAAUAGAUCAUUGAUCUGUUGCACCAGAUAGUAUAUCUGUUGCAACAUGUAAUCAACCUGUUGCAGUGGAUGACUAAUCUGUUAUAAUAAUACGAAAUGUAUCACUCAAUUUUUAAGAUAGAUGAAUGGUCUGUGCAACCGAUCAUACAUCUGUUGCAAUAUAUGAGUGAUCUGUAACCUAUUACAAUGGAUGAGUAAUCUGUUACAAUAAUAUAAAACAUAUCACUCAUCUAUUGAUAUUAAUGAAUGGCCUGUGUAGCAGAUCAUACAUCUGUUGCAACAUCAUCUGUUGCAAUAUAUGAGUGAUCUGUUGGAACAGUUAAAUAACUUGUAGCAACGGCUGAGUAAUCUGUUGUGACAAUACAAAAUAUAUCACUCAUAUGUUAAGAAAGAUGAAUGGUUUGUGCAAUAGAUCACACAUCUGUUGCAACAAAUGAGUGAUUUAUCAGAAUAAUUAACUAACCUGCAAUAACGGUGUUGAGUAAUCUAUUGCAAUAAUACAAAACAUAUCACUCAUCUGUUGAGAAAGAUGAAUGGUCUGUGCAACAGGUCACACAUAUGUUGCAGCAUGAGUGAUCUGUUGGAACAGUUAUCAACUGUCAAUAUUGUUUAGAUUUCUUUCAACAGAAGGGUCGGCUAUCGUGGCAGAUGAAUGAUCAGUUCAAAAAAUCAAGUCUUGGACAUGUGCUGUUGGAAGAGUUGAUAGGAUUUUAUCUAACAGGAGGUUCAUCUGUUGCAUCAGAUCUUUAAUCCGAUGGUUCCUCCGUUGCAUCAGAUGGUUAAUCUAUUACAUCAGAUUUUUAAUUCGAUGGUUCCUCUGUUGCAUCCAAUAGUAGAUUUGUUGCAUCAGAUGGUUAAUCUAUUACAACAUAUGGUUAAUUUAUUGCAAUAUAUGGUUAAUUUGUUGCAACAUAUGGUUAAUUUGUUGCAUCAGAUAGUUAAACUAUUGCAUCAUAUGCUAAAUCUGUUGCAUCAGAUUUUUUAUCUGAUGGUUCCUCUGUUGCAUCAUAAUAUUAAUUUGUUGCAUCAAAUGGUGAAUCAAUUACAUCAGAUGUUUAAUCUGUUAUUGCAUCAGAUAGUUGAUUUGUUGCAUCAUAUGAUAAAUCUAUUGCAUCAGAUGGUUAAUAUGUUGCACCAGAUGGAUAAUCUGUUGAAGAAAAAAAUAGUAGCACGAUUUUGUUCAACAGAAAAACAACAAUAUCACCAUUUUUACCAAGAACAAGAACAAAACGAAUCAACCCAGCAACGGGCGCAACACAAAAAACACCAAAAUCGUUGUUUUGUUUGUAUAAACACAAACAACAAAAAUCAAACUUCAAAAAAAUACAACAAACAACAAAAACUCAUAAUUCACUUCGAAAAGAAAUGAGAAGAAAUACUCGAAAUUAGGAUUUUAUUCAGACCGCAAUUCAAAUUAAAGCAACAAAUAUUGAAAUUGUUAACCAAUACUAUAAGAGAAGUUGGCUUAAGUUCCUCGUUUUCUUUAAAACUAAAAAGGCCAUAAGUUUUUACCUGUGAAAGAAGAAAAAGAACGAUAAAGAAUUCGAAGUUGUUGUGGCCGGAGAGCAAGGUUGUCAUGUCGAUUGAAGAUUGAAGUGGAAAAGGAACUUGAAGCCCAACUAUUUUUCAUUGGAGGUUGAAGUCGCCGGGGAUUGAAAGGAGAAAUUUGCAGAAUUCUUGGUUGAGAGAAGCUAUCGAGAGACAAUCGAUGAUUUGGAUUGAAGAGGGAUGUGGGUUGGUUUGAUUUGUAUUUUUGUAAAGAUUAGAAAGUUUUGAAAAUAUUAAUCAAGUCCACAAUUAACUUGAUCAAGUUUCCUAAUUAUGUUUGACCCUUUAAGUUGGGCAAUGUCACCAAUCCUUCAUUCAGGACUCAAAGACACCUUUUCAUCAAUUUUCUCGAGUAAAUUUAACUUAAUUACCUUUUUGUCUAUAUUUAAUUUUUUAUAGAAAAUUUAUCUAUAAGAGGUCAAUUAGAAACUUUAUCUUAAACUCGCUUAUUUUUUAUUUCAUGACUGUUGAUAUAACUCAUUUUUAUAAUACUCUUGUUUCAUAUUCUAGGUGAAUCCAACAUUAUAUGAGAUACUAAAACUAGGCUUUUCAUAUAUUUUCAGGUAAAAUUGUCCUGCACUUAUGAUGAUUUUUCUAUUCUCCUCUAUUUUCAAUAGUUCAUAUGCGAUACUUUUAUAUGUUUUUAUGUUUCUAGGCUAGUAAAAUUCAUUGUUUCAAUACAUUAUGUCCUGACUUUAUACAAGUGAACUGUAAGAUACCUCUUGAUAUGUCAUACGAGCACACUCUUAAAAAUCUUUCGCAACGUGGAGGGAGGAUAUGACGUAUAUCUUAUACACUUUAGUUUUUUGAGUAACUUUUUUUAUUAUAUCUGAACAAGUAUAGAGAUUGCAAUUGUAGAAGCACAUAAAUACUAACAUUGAUUAUCUUCAAAAUUAAGCAUCUUGUCAAUGAAAUUUUUUGGCUUUUAAUGGAAGAAAAUCAUGAACAAAUUGAUUUUGCGCCUUAGAGGUUUUUUACUGGCUUGCAAAGUUUUACUACAAAUGUUGGGUGGGGUGACGUUGUAUAUAGUCCACCGGCUGUACUUGAACCUCCCACGGGCUCAAACUAUUUUCCCAUUACGAACUCUGGUUAUGAUGUUUAUUGUAAGAGCAUAACAAUUUUGAACAUAAAAAAAAAAAAAAAAAAAAAAAAAUUGAAGUAGAUAGAACAACUACACGUACUGAAAAUCUUAAUAUGCACUGCAUUUCAUUUGAACAACUUUAAUCUGGUUCAAAGUCAUCUUGUUUUGUUGUAUGUGAUGGACCUGUUGAGAGUAGACAAAUCUAAGUAUUGCUAAUUACUACUCUAUUGAGAGUUAUAUUUAAUGUCUAAUAAUCAUACGCGGUACUAUCUAUUUUUAUCCCCAAAAUUUCUCAAUUUAAUUCUUGUAUCCAUCCAAUAUUUAUCCCAACUCAUCUAACCCGUUAAACCCAACUACUAAUAUAAUUUUUCAUCAUCACUUUACCAUCAAAGAAACAUGUAUAUAGAGAAAAAGAAGGCUAGGUCGUCGAGAAAGAGUAAUCUCCCACGAGUCCUAUAAAUUGUAACAAGACAAAACAAUUAGAAGUCUGCAAGAGGAAGCUACAACAACAUUAGAAAUUGCCAUUGUAACAGUCCGAACAUAGAUUUCAUCAGAACUUACGAAAUUUACAAAAAGAAUUCAGUUGACGAUGACAAUGUUUUUUUCAUUAGUAUUAAAUUGAUGAUGGUGAAUGUUCAACUCAAAAUAUAAAAUGACUUAUUAAUCUCAAUUAGUUCAGUACAAAUGAAAAUAGCCAAGAAUAUGCCCAAGAAUAUAACUGCUUGAUGCACGUGUAGCGCACAAUAUGCACGUGUGACGCAUAAAAUGCACGUAAAACACACGUAGAGAUCAAAUAUGACACGUUUAUGUCACUAAAGCCUAUAUAUUUUACUGUGAAAUAUCACACACGUACGUAGAAACAACUUAAGAGCAAUGCAAAAUAUUUAUACCACGAGCAUCCCCAAAGCACAUCACCAAAUGUAUCAAUAUUUUCAAAAUUAUCCCUAUAAAAGACUCCCUUUAAAAAUCUCUUUAAGCUCACAUACUCUUUUCUUCUUAUUCUCUCUUAAACUCUAAACUCACACUUUAAAAAAAAAAAAAAAAACUUACGUUGGAGAAAUUGAUGCGGUUUAUAAUCUACAGAUUAAGGUAUAUGGUACAAUUACUUUAUUAUAAUUAAUGUUAUUAUUAUUAGACUUUAAACGUUUCUCUUCUUUUACAUAUAUAUAUUGCUUAAAAAAAUAGAUUUUCACCGUACUGUUGUUGGUUGAACUAGCACGAAAGACAACUAUUUCUCCCUCAAAACUCCCCAAUCAAUAGCGCUACUAAUCGUUGUAAUUGCUAUUUUUGCAUAUUUUUUUGUAUAAAAUGAUACAAAGAUAUGGCUGGGGAGAUCAAGGGGUCAACCCAGAUCAUGGCAUCGAAUUAUCGGUUAAAUAGUUAUUUACUACUACUAAUAAUUUCAUCUGGUUAUCUCUAAACGAUUUAGUCACCCCCAUCUUUUGGUUGCAGGCACCCUAAGGUGCUCUAAGAGAAGAUCAUCACAGGAUAGAUUAUGGUUGUAUUAUGAUAUCCAUGAAUAGAUUAUGGUACAUAUGUCGUAGUAAUAGUGUGUAAUAUGUAAAAAAUCAGUUUUUGUUUUGAUUAAGUGCAUUUUUUAUGAAAAAAUGUGUUUUGUGGUGGUUGUAUAAUAAAUGUUAUAUACAAGUAUACUUAUUUGUUAGUUGAAUUUAUUUGUUGGUUAUAUUUGAUGGAAUAAAAAAUUUCAAGAUACGUAUACAAUUUCGGUUGAACCUCUUCUUCCAAAAAGUACAUGAGAUAUACCAAAACAUGUGUUGGAAGAAAUAAUGUUGUCACAAGAUUCGAAGAAAUCACCGAAAAGGCGAAGUUACAAUAGAAAGAAAGGAACCAUUGUAUAUACAAAAUCACCAUCAAGAAAAAAACUCAAUGUAUUAAUAAAUUAUUUCAUUUUUCGCAUAGUCGAUAAAAACAACAAACAAAAAAAGUUAAACAAAUAAGUUGGUUUGAAAAUCUUUUAAACCGACAAUACAUAUAAAAAAUUAUAGAGAAAAAUAUAAAAUUUGUAGUUUAAAUAAGAGUUUGAUUGAUUUCUUGAGCGUAAUACAUAACGAAAAUGAAAGAAAGAGAUAGAUGAGAAGAAAGAGAAGAGAGAGGGAGGGAGAGAGAGCUUUGGAAUAAGUUUUACAAAAUUAAAUAAAUUAAUAUAGGAGUAGGAAAAGUCUCUAUUUGCCUAAAAUAACUCCCAAAAAAAUAAACCAACAUCAUCCAUCCGGAAAUUUUGCCCAGUAACAAAACUUUAAUUUAUAAUAUUUUAUAAAUAAAACCUAGAUUUUGUAAAUAAAAAAAGUAUAUUUAUAUAUUGUAAUUUAAGGUCUUAAAUAGUACAAGUAUGUGAUUUUUUUCUAUAAAAAGGACAAAAUAAAUAAUUUUAGUAGCUUAUGUAAUUUUAUCUUGUUAUAUUAUAAAAAAGACUAUUUAAAUUUUCAUCUUAUCGGUGAAGUUUCAGUUUUUCAUCCUCCCUCAUUUUUCCUUCCCCACACCAAAAUUUAGUAAUUUGGCAUUAAUAAUAAAGCCAUACCUAUUGUGUCUUCAAAACAAUGAAUGAAUUCAAAAAUUUAAUAGUUAAAAUUAAAUAUAAAUACCUGAAAAACCAACAUCUAUAUCUAUCUAUAUCUAUAAUCUAUAUCUAUCUAUAAUAUAUUAAAAGAGGGAAGAUCCCUAGAAAAGUGAUUUGAACUUUUUGCCCAUCAUUAAAAGUCUCCGCUUUAGAUAAAAUCGUGUUUUCAGUUUUUUUACUUAAAUUAUUAAAAUAUUACUAACUAUAAUACAUAUAUUCAAAAUUAAAUAGAGAAAGUUUUCUUAUUAUAAUUAAAUUUCUAAAUUUGUGGUAAUUUUUAUUUAAGAUUUUUUUUCUUCUUAAACUCUCUAAUAUAUCCAAAAAAUUUGGCUCCUUCAUCGUAGUAGCAAAUUAUAUUAUAGUUAAAUUUUUACAUUUAUGGUAAAUAAGACCCUUCAUCGUAUGAUCAAAUAGGAUUCCUUAUAAGAUUUGUAAUCCAUAAGAUUUUUAGGAGUCUUUAUUAUUUCUUUUUUAGUAGAAGAUACAUCACAAAAACAUAUGCUCUUCUUUGUCUCGCGUUGUUUCGUUCUUAGUUAAUUUUUCUCAUCAAUAAUUCAUGUUUGAUCGUUUUAUAAAGUCAUUAGAUAUUCUUAUCUUCUCCAAAUAAUAUAUGGACAUAUAUAUGAUUUAUUAUUGCUCUUUUAAUAUUCUUGAGCAAGUGAAGGAAGAUUCAUGUGUAGUGCGUGAAUGAGGCUUUGUGUUGAUUAACAAAGAAUUUGAAGGUAUGUGUACACGACCCAUGCAACACUAUUUUUUUUGGAGAAGAAGACGGAAAAUGCCAACAACGAAAAAAAGAAAAUAUAAAGCUUUUUGAUUGUUCAAGACUAUGCAACUUGAUUCCCUCAUUCUAACUGUUGUUUGGGUUUUCACACAAACACAAUAUCCGUCAAUGAUGACAACUCCGACGGCCGACGAUAGUAGCUUCGAAGAGGACCAGUUUCGUGUUGUGUCAAAGAUAUUAUUAUAGCUUCAUGCCUUCUUGACAACAUACCUCAAAUUAUAAAGGUUUCAAUCUCUUUUCGUUUGCUCUACUCACAAUUAUAAAGGUUUCGGACCGUUUAGUGCUAUAAAUUGUGGUAAGUGAAUGAUUGAAAUAUUUCUUCCUAAAUUUUUGCGAGUAGCAACUUUGUAAGUCAGUUCGAUUUUCCUUUAAGUAAUAUCUGAAGGAAAACGUGAUUGGCACGUUCAUAGUAUUUCUCAUAUGGAAUUGAAUAGGAUAAAUAAUAUAGCUUGCCGUUAUUAAUUUGGAGAUAAGCAUAGUUGUGUAUUUUAAUUGUAGAUAAAAAAGUUGAUUUAUAUCUUAAACUGAUUGAGGUAUUUUAAUUAUUAAGAAUUCAAAAUAUUUAAAAGAUAUAUGAUAAAAUUAUAAUAAAAAAUAAAUUUAUUUGUUUUGAAAUUUGAAAAUGGAGAGAAUAUUUCUAAUAUUGCACCUCUUUGUUUCUUCUUAGUGACAACUAUGACUGCAUCUUACACAAUCACUUAUAGUGAUGUUCAUCCUAAAAGGUUAAGUUUUAUGUUGUUAUUUUUUUCAAGUACUAAUGCCUCUCUCUUUUCUUGAUCACGUUGCAAUGAAAUUAUGAACCUUAAGUUAUAUUAAAUAAAUUGAUAGAUAUGAUUGAGUAGCAUACAAAGAUGUUAGAGGAGAUACAAUAAUAUAAUAUAUUGACGAAAUAAGUUAACAACUCUUUAAAUUUGUUGAUAAAUUUUAUUUAAACAUUCGAAUUAUGAUUUGUUUCAAUAGAGCACGUGAACACUUAAUAAACUGUUUAUAUUGCUACUUCUUAAUGUGUUCUAACUUAAACAUUUAAGAGACAUGUGAAGAUAAGUGAUACAAGUAUGAUCACGUAAAGGGACUUAUGAGGGCGUAUGUUGGACCCGAGACUUGGUGUGUGCAAAUGAAGUGCAAAGGAGGGCCUAAAAAGAUUCCAAAACAGCCCACAUUCUACACACCAAGGGCGCCUAAAGUGAAGCAAUUGACUAUGAGGUCUUUUGGACAUUUCACACUAUUUUUGUAACCUACUAUAAAUAGAAUAUGUUAGGUCAUUUACUACUUAGUUUUUGAAGAUUAUGGAAAGUUGUAAUAUUGAAACACUCUCUCUUGUGAGAAAGGCCUCUUGGACGAAACAAUGUAACUAGGGUUUUCAACUUGAGUGUGGAAUCACUCGUAUUGGAUUCAAGCUUGGAAACAUUAGAUGCUUGGGAGAUCGAGGUCCCUCUUGUACCAACGUAAGAGAUAGGUGAAUCUUUGUGAGUAGUGUUAAGAGUCCAAGAGUGGAAUAUGUUCUUGGAUUCUUAAAUUUAUUCCUUCAUGUAGUCUAUUUAUCUAUCUUUUUGUUCAUUGUAAUCUUGUAACCGUUGUGUGUCUUGCUUGUGGAACCCUUGAGUAUUGUUAUAAUAUAGUUAUUGUUCUUCGUAUCCUUCAUCUCGUGUUGAUAAUAUUAGUUUGUGGUGGUUGGUUAGGUGUUGAAACACACCCCUAUCUCGUGUAUUGUUGUUCUUGUUUGUGAAUCCGAGUGUGGUCAUCAAAAGGGUCCUCGACUCUUUGAGCAUGUGGACUAAUUUUGCUGUUUGUUUCAUGCUCCCUUGUCUUUCUUGUAUCAAUAAGUAAAAAGAUAACUUUUCAAAAUCCAAAGUGUGUAAUAGGAAUACUUUAAGUUAAUUCUUUCCAUAGCAUAUUAUUUUACAUUAUAAUAGUAAAAAUAUUAAUUUGUUUUCCUCGAUCCAACACUUUCUAACAACAUAUUAGUUGCUUCAUAUGUCAUUUCGAGAAAGUUUUAAAAGCUUUUUUCUUUUUGGAUUGCUCUAUAGCUUUGAUAGUUUUUCUUAGUUUAGAUUAAAGUGGUUCUUAAUAUUUUUAUAUGAUUUUCUAUGAAUAUAUUAAUUUUCUAUUUAAAUGUUUUUUGUAUUUCAUAAAAUUAUCAAUUUAUUUAACUUAUUAAUCAAGACAUAAUUUCUUUAUAUUAUCAAAGUGAUUUUAUAAAAGUGAACACAUUAAAGCGAGGUGCACGCGUAGGGCGCGUAUCCUAAACUAGUAAUAUAAAUUGAGCUAGACAUCAGUGAAUUAUUUAUUCAAACUCCACAAACUCAAUUUUGAGACUUUUCAUUUUUAAUAUAGUAUUAGUUUAACCACAUGUGUGUCUCACACGUGUAACCUUAGAUUAUUUAAAAUUAAAAGUUAAUAAUUGAAUGGUGAAAAAAAUAAUUGAGUCCCGAAACAGGAUUGACACUUUACAACAAAAACAUCUUCUAAGCAUAGUUGGAUUCCAACGAUGUACCUGCAAAUGAUAGGCGACAUUUCAAGAGUUGAAUGGAAAAGUCUUAUGUUCUAUAAUAUUGCAAGACCCAAAGCCAUCUUUAUCAUGUGGCUUUAUCUGUAGGAUAGGCUUCUAAGUGUUUGAUCGUUUAAUCAGCUGGGGUAUGUCUGUGCACCCAAUAUGUGUGAUGUGUGGUAAUUUAACAGAAUCAAGAGACCACUUCUUUUUUGGAUGUAUCUUUGCUGCCAAGCGAUUAUGCGCAUAUCUGAUUAAGUGGAUGAAGAUCCCUGUCCACCCUACUAGUUCAUGGAAUCAACAUCAGCAGUGGCUUUUUCAAAGAAACGAAGGGAGAUCCAAGCAGACUAGAACGCUAAGGAUGAUAUAUGUUGAGUAUGUACUUGCCAUUUGGGGAGAACGAAACAACAACACUUUUGAGAACCUGGUGAAACAAUGGGAACCAAUUGGCAGAGAAAUCACGUACAUAUGUAACAUGAGGGCGGAAGAAAAUAUGAAGAUAUUGAUGCAAAGCCUCUUGUUGCCAGCUAAAUGUGUCUAGUUGUUACUCCAUAUUCUACUCUUCAACUCUUCAUGUAAUAGAAAGAAGUAUAAUGGUUGUGGUCGUAUAAAGCGAGACUAAUUUUGCAUAGCAGAUUGUGUUAGUCUGGCUAGUUUUGUAAUGCAUUCUUGAUAGUUAAUAAAGUUGUUAGUUACAAAAAAUAGCUUGCAAGACAUAAGAUAAUUGGUAAUAUCUUAUUAUGAGAACUUCAAUCAGUAAACUGUAUUUCAAAACAAACAAGCAACAGAGUACAGACAAUGAAAAACUAGCUCCAAUAUAUGACACUGCAGAGUUCCACUACUAUACAUGCCAUUCCUUCUAAACUUGUCAAUCAAAAUAUAAAGAAAAAAAAAAGCUUGCUAUUUCUUCUGAUUCCCUUAUUCUUCCUUAAUUAGUUAUUGUAUCAUCAGUUGCAUCUGACACUGUAUAAGGUCUAAGAUGAAUAUAUCUAAAUCAUCUGAAUUUUUUCCUUUAACUUUGACAACUAGAUGCGUGCAAAUUGACAAUUGAUGAGUGCCAAAGACACCAAUUGAUGAAUUUCAAACUGGAACGGGUAUCUUACCUUAUAACAAAGAAAUAGCAAGCCAAAAGUUCAAUUUCUAGCUCGAAUCACCGUCCUACCAACUUCCCCAAAGAAUUUGCACUACCAAAAAGAGGUUAUACAACUUCGCCAAACAAUUGCCAUCUCUAAAUCCAAUAAAUUCAAGGAACUUUGAAGCAACUUGAGUUUUUACAACCCAGACCAACCUCGGUACUACUUGAUUUGUGGAUAAAUCAAUCUCAAUGUCAUUCACUUCCUCAUUGAGAAUGGUUGCGGAAUCAAAGAUUUUGGUUGGCUUAGGAGCCUCUUCUUGAUCACAACAGAAUCUUUCUUGACCCAUUUAUCAUCUUACAAAACAUAUCCCAUGCUACCAAAGGAAUCAUCACUAUUCUUAUACACUCAAAUAUUAGCAUAAAAUACGAACAAGUUAUUCAUAGACCUCUAUUACAUAAAGUUUCAAUAGUAGACCAAGGUGUUGAGCCUAGAGAAAGGUACUUACCAGACAAUGGCUAUCCUUGAGUUGUCCCAGAUUGAUGAUUCGACCACCAACUUGUGAGCAUUUCUUAAGAGCAGGGUAUCUAUUCUUCUAUUCUACACUCUAGAAUAGGUGUAGAUCAACGAAAUUGAAAUCUGAGUCGUCACAAACUUCAUAUUUUUGGGAGAAGGGUUUUUGAUAGAUGGGUUUUUUGAGGGUUUUGGAGUUGCAUUUUGGGAUUCUUCUCAAUCGAAGCCCUACAAGACCUAGAGAGAGUGAGAGGAGAAAAUGAUUAUUGCGGCGGUAGUUGAAACGCUGUUCCCGAUGGUGGUCUCGUCGGUGACAAGCGGCCGUGGCAGCUACAUUUGAUUGUCCGCCGCCGGCGAUCAGUUCAUGGGGGGAGCGAGAAAGAGAGAGAAAGUGAAAGUGUAGGGAUUAGGGUUUUCUUUUUGGUUUAAAAGGAAAGAGGAAUAGGGUUUGA
rnacentral:lncRNA from 1 species